ACUCAAAUGAAUUGACGGGGACCCGCACAAGCAGCGGAGCGUGUGGUUUAAUUCGAUGCGACGCGAAGAACCUUACCAAGGCUUGACAUGCACCUGCAACUUUGUGAAAGCAAAGCCUCCUUCGGGACAGGUGCACAGAUGCUGCAUGGCUGUCGUCAGCUCGUGUCGUGAGAUGUUGGGUUAAGUCCCGCAACGAGCGCAACCCUUGUCCUUAGUUGCAUAUCUAGGGAGACCGCCGGAAACAAACCGGAGGAAGGUGGGGAUGACGUCAAGUCAGCAUGGCUCUUACGUCUUGGGCUACACACACGCUACAAUGGCCGGUACAGUGAGAAGCCACCCAGCGAUGGGGAGCAGACCUCCAAAGCCGGCCCCAGUUCAGAUUGCACUCUGCAACCCGGGUGCAUGAAGUGGGAGUUGCUAGUAACCGCGUGUCAGCAUAGCGCGGUGAAUAUGUUCCCGGGUCUUGUACACACCGCCCGU
rnacentral:rRNA from 1 species